rnacentral:rRNA from 1 species
GACGAACGCUGGCGGCGUGCCUAAUACAUGCAAGUGGGACGCAAGGAAACACACUGUGCUUGCACACCGUGUUUUCUUGAGUCGCGAACGGGUGAGUAACGCGUAGGUAACCUGCCUAUUAGCGGGGGAUAACUAUUGGAAACGAUAGCUAAUACCGCAUAAUAUUAAUUAUUGCAUGAUAAUUGAUUGAAAGAUGCAAGCGCAUCACUAGUAGAUGGACCUGCGUCGUAUUAGCUAGUUGGUAAGGUAAGAGCUUACCAAGGCGACGAUACAUAGCCGACCUGAGAGGGUGAUCGGCCACACUGGGACUGAGACACGGCCCAGACUCCUACGGGAGGCAGCAGUAGGGAAUCUUCGGCAAUGGACGAAAGUCUGACCGAGCAACGCCGCGUGAGUGAAGAAGGGUUUCGGAUCGUAAAGCUCUGUUGUAAGUCAAGAACGUGUGUGAGAGUGGAAAGUUCACACAGUGACGGUAGCUUACCAGAAAGGGACGGCUAACUACGUG